rnacentral:rRNA from 1 species
ACCCCGGGACCUUUACUAUACCUUGGUAUUGGCAUUAGGCGCGGAUUGUGUAGCAUAGGCGGGAGGCUUCGAGGCGGGUGCGCCAGCAUCCGCGGAGCCGCAAGGUGAAAUACCGCUCUGUUCUCGUUUGAUGUCUAACCUCGAACAGUCAUCCUGUUCAGGGACAGUGCCUGGCGGGUAGUUCAACUGGGGCGGUUGCCUCCCAAAGAGUAACGGAGGCGCUCAAAGGUCCGCUCGGCCCGGUUGGCAAUCGGGUGUCGAGUGUAAUCGCACAAGCGGGCUUGACUGCGAGAUCGACGGAUCGAGCAGGGACGAAAGUCGGAGAUAGUGAUCCGGUGCCGGCGCACGGGCGCGGCAUCGCUCAACGGAUAAAAGGUACCCCGGGGAUAACAGGCUGAUCAUUCCCAAGAGUCCAUAUCGACGGGAUGGUUUGGCACCUCGAUGUCGGCUCGUCGCAUCCUGGGGCUGGAGCAGGUCCCAAGGGUUCGGCUGUUCGCCGAUUAAAGCGGCACGCGAGCUGGGUUCAGAACGUCGUGAGACAGUUUGGUCUCUAUCCUCUGCGCUCGUUGGAAUCUUGAGGAGGCCUGCCCAUAGUACGAGAGGACCUGGGUGGACGAACCUCUGGUAUGCCGGUCGUCACGCCAGUGGCGCGGCCGGUUGGCUACGUUCGGAAGGGAUAACCGCUGAAAGCAUCUAAGCGGGAAGCCUUCUCCAAGAUAAGGAUUCCAUGCGGCCCCGAGCCGCUGAAGACCCCAUGCAGAACACGUGGUUGAUAGGCCGGACGUGGAAGCCCCGCGAGGGGUGGAGCCGACCGGUACUAAUGGUCGAGAGGCAACCCACA